AGUGAACGCUGGCGGUAGGCCUAACACAUGCAAGUCGAACGGCAGCACAGUAAGAGCUUGCUCUUAGGGGUGGCGAGUGGCGGACGGGUGCGGAAUACAUCGGAAUCUACUUUUUCGUGGGGGAUAAAGAAGGGAAACUUACGGUAAUACCGGAUACGACCUACGGGAGAAAGCAGGGGAUCUUCGUACCUUGGGCGAUUGAAUGAGCCGAUGUCGGAUUGGUUAGGUGGAGGGGUAAGGGCCCACUAAGGCGACGAUCCGUAGCUGGUCUGCGAGGAGGAUCGUCCAUACUGGAACUGGAACACCGUCCAUACUCCUACGGGAAGCAGCAGUGGGGAAUAUUGGACAAUAGGCGCAAGCCUGAUCCAGCCAUACGGCGUAGGUGAAGAAGGCCUUCGGGUUGGAAAGCCCUUUUGUUGGGAAAGAAAAGCAUCAGGUUAAUACGCCGAUGUAAUGACGGUACCCAAAGAAUAAGCACCGGCUAACUUCGUG
rnacentral:rRNA from 1 species